rnacentral:lncRNA from 1 species
AUCUGUGAAUCCUGCUCCAGUCUCUGCAAGGCCAGGCUUUCUCUGGCUUCUUUGUCUCUGGGAGGCCUUGCUAUUCUGCGUUUCCGGGCUCCCUCUGAAGACUGGCUGCCUGAUUCUGGUCACUGUUGUUCACAUCUCCACAUGACUCCUCCUUGGCCUUCCUGCUUCUGCUUUUGUCCCCAGAUAACAGAAAUUAUCUAGUAUGAAAUUUCUUGAUAUUUGCUUUUGUAUAGUAUCAAUACAGAGUUCUACCUAGGAUCCUAAAAUUCCUUUAUGGUGAUGGUGAUUGUUUAUUAAGCACUCACUCUGUAUCAGGAACAAGAUUUCCAGUCUUAAAAAUGUUUUCUGGAGCACAUAUAUAUAUAUCCAUAUAUAUUCCAUAUAUAUAUAUAUAUAUCCAUAUAUAUUCCAUAUAGAAUUGCCUCCACCAUCCAAUAGUGAUCCCCUGCAUCACUGUCACUUUCACUUACCCUAUCUUCCUACACGUCACUUCCUCCUAUUAAUCAUGAUAAUUUAUGUAAGUUGUGUGGUGCGCAGCUAUAUCCUGAGAAGGUGAAAAAGAAUGGUGCAUACCUUCAGGCCACCAAAGGUGAUGAGAAAGCAUUUCAUGACAGCCUCCCAGGGAAGAAUAAACUAUAAAGUGGUUAUUGCAAAUCUCACAUUGCAUCUGGAAUAUAAAUAAAAAAUGUUUAUUUACAGUUGUUACUACAUAAAAUUUUAAAUGACAAUACUGAUGAUAGUUUCCUUAGGGCAAUGAUGAAGAAAACUCUCAAGUUAGUUUCUUGACUUGUAUGAGUAUAUAAUUUUUAAACUACUGAACUUCAAGUCUUAUCUUGUAGGUGACAAUAUUGUCUCAUGUAUAAUUGGUCAAAAUAAUUGCUUAUGGAAGUCUUUCCUUGGCUGCACUUAAUUUAAACAUCUGGCUUCCAUUUCCUGCAUGCUGUUUGUCUGCAGAAAGAUGAUUAUUACAUAAUAAAGCAAUCCCGGCAUAUGGAGAAAUGUGCUUUGUGGGUGUGUGUGUUUACAUACACAUAUGAACACCCCCAUUCACUCAUAGACGCUUCUAAAAUAGAGCUGCUUGUUUUUUUUUUUCACAUACACAGUGAAGAUCCAAUUUGGGCUACAACUUUACUUGUGUUUACUUUGACAUUCUUGCUAUUCAAUAAUAUGUCCUAGUUUCCUGUAAUUAGAUGAAAAACAAUUUCCUUCACUUUUUUGGGAGGGCGGGUCCAUGAAUUACCAAAUAUUUUUCAUCAUUCUCUAAACCUACACUUUACAUGACAUUGAGUUUUACAUAUUAUGUAACGUACUUCAGGUUUCAUUGAUGUAUUUUUCAACUUAAAUUUCUAAAAAACCUAACCUGGUUGCUGCUCAGUAUUCCCUACUUUUCAUACAUUGAGAUCUGUUUAAAUUUCUCACACUCAUGCAGAUCAGAAUAUCCAACAUUGUGUUUUUUGUUUGAAAAGCACAAGUCUUCGUUACUUUAAUUAGCUGCAGGUAUGAUUUGCAUUCUGCUGUUCUCUGCAAAACUUGUUUCUUCUAUGGAAAGAGUUAAGACUACUAUUUGCCAGAGGAAGUCCAAAUUCCUUAAGUUAACAUUUAAGACCCCUUCAGAUAAUUCCUAUUCUGCUCUUUCAAUCUUAAUUGCUUUUUCCCACAUGUAUUUUAUGUUCUUAGAAUCUCCAUUCCUGGCUGGGCACAGUGGCUCAUGCCUGUAAUCCCAGCACUUUGGGAGGCCAAGGCAGGCGGGUCGUUUGAGCCCAGGAGUUGCAGACCAGCCUGGGUAAUGUGACAAAAUCCUGUCUCUACAAAAAAAAUACAAAAAUUAGCCAGGUGUGGUGGUGUGUGCCUGUAGUCCCGACUACCCGGGAGGCUGAAGUGGGAGAAUCACCAGUGCCCAGGGAGGUCGAGGCUGCAGUGAGUCAAGAUUCUGCCAUCACACUGCAGCCUGGGUGACAGAGUGAGACCCUGUCUAACCUCCCCUCUCCGCUGUCACCCCCAACACACACACACAGUCUCCAAUUCCCUCAAGAUAACUGCACUUUCUGGUGUUCCAGCCUUUAUUGAUUUUUUCUUCCUGGAAGUUCUCUUGUUAUCUCCAUCACCUGAAUCCUUCACUCUCUUUCAAGCACACCUAAAAUAUCUGUCCUUUAAUGUCACCUUCCUGUCACCUUGGCAAGGAAUUCUGAGCAUCUGUUACACUUUUUACCUCUCUGUGCCUUUCUCCAUUAUGUCCUGAAGAGUGAUUUGUGUAUCUGGCCAUAUCUUUCUUACUGGAGUGGGAACCUCUUUAAGAUAGACUAUGACUCAUUCAUUUUAUCAUAGCCCACAGUGCUCAGAAAUGUGCUCACUCAGGAAGUUUCUUGA